GGAGUAGCCGAAAUGGGUAGAUUGGAAAUACCUCUGCCCGAUUCUUCUCAUGGAUAUGGUGGUCUUUUCAGUUCUACCCAUUUCAGCUAUUCC
rnacentral:pre_miRNA from 1 species